rfam:Brassica oleracea var. oleracea cultivar TO1000 chromosome C4, whole genome shotgun sequence
UGUUCGAUGCCACGUCUGCGAUAGCUUUUGGCUUUGAUCGUCGAUGCUACAUUGGACAUAAACAGAUGUUUGUGUUUCGCUUUUCUGAUAGGAACCUGUGGAUCUUGUGAUCUUUGGGGCCAAUAUGGCGAUUACAUUU